GCCUCCUAGAUGCGGGUUGCGGCUCUACGGAGCAGAGCCGAGGUUGGGCCGGGACCGCGGAUGGGACAGGAGGCCGGCCGGCCCGCUCGCUCUGCGGGUGGAUGCGGUGGCGGCAAUGCACGCCCUAGAAGAAGAGAGCUUCGCGCUGUCCUUCUCUUCCGCCUCUGAUGCAGAAUUUGAUGCUGUAGUUGGGUAUUUAGAGGACAUUAACAUGGAUGAUGAGUUCCAGUUAUUACAGAGAAAUUUCAUGGACAAGUACUAUCAGGAGUUUGAAGACACAGAAGAGAAUAAACUCACCUACACACCUAUUUUUAACGAAUACAUUUCUCUGGUAGAAAAGUAUAUUGAAGAACAGCUGCUGGAGCGGAUUCCUGGAUUUAACAUGGCGGCUUUCACCACGACUUUACAGCACCAUAAAGAUGAAGUGGCUGGUGACAUAUUUGACAUGCUGCUCACGUUUACAGAUUUUCUGGCUUUUAAAGAAAUGUUUCUGGACUACAGAGCAGAAAAAGAAGGCCGGGGACUGGAUUUAAGCAGUGGUUUAGUGGUGACUUCAUUGUGCAAAUCCUCUUCUGUGCCAGCUUCCCAGAAUGACCUGCGACCCUAGGUCCCACCACCAAGCAAUGGGAUCUUCCUGGAUGUUGCCAGCCCAGUAGACUGGAAGAGGCUCUGGCUAAUGUGACAGAAUACAUGUUAGAAAGACUGACUGCUCUGCAACUCCUUAUUAAUAUUAAGUAUUCAUGGGUCAAGACAAUGGUCUGACCCUCCUGAGACCCUGAAGCACCUUCUCGUGUUCAGUAAUCCUAGCACUCCUCCCCAAGCAGACCACUCUCAGGCCUCCGCAUUAGGCUCCGGCUCCCGAGCUUGGCAUUGCCCUGGGGC